CCUACGGGAGGCAGCAGUGAGGAAUAUUGGUCAAUGGGCGCGAACCUGAACCAGCCAAGUAGCGUGAAGGAUGACUGCCCUACGGGUUGUAAACUUCUUUUAUAAAGGAAUAAAGUGAGGCACGUGUGCCUUUUUGUAUGUACUUUAUGAAUAAGGAUCGGCUAACUCCGUGCCAGCAGCCGCGGUAAUACGGAGGAUCCGAGCGUUAUCCGGAUUUAUUGGGUUUAAGGGGAGCGUAGAUGGGUUGUUAAGUCAGUUGUGAAAGUUUGCGGCUCAACCGUAAAAUUGCAAUUGAUACUGGCAGCCUGGAUCACAGUUGAGGUAGGCGGAAUUCGUGGUGGAGCGGUGAAAGGUUUAGAUACCACGAAAAACUCGGAUUGCGAAGGCAGCCUAUAAAACUGCCACUGACAUUGAUGCUCGAAAGUGUGGAUAUCAAACAGGAUUAGAUACCCGGGUAGUC
rnacentral:rRNA from 1 species